UACGGGGGGGGCAAUCGUUGUUCGGAAUUACUGGGCGUAAAGGGCUCGUAGGCGGCCAACUAAGUCAGACGUGAAAUCCCUCGGCUUAACCGGGGAACUGCGUCUGAUACUGGAUGGCUUGAGGUUGGGAGAGGGAUGCGGAAUUCCAGGUGUAGCGGUGAAAUGCGUAGAUAUCUGGAGGAACACCGGUGGCGAAGGCGGCAUCCUGGACCAAUUCUGACGCUGAGGAGCGAAAGCGUGGGGAGCAAACAGG
rnacentral:rRNA from 1 species